rnacentral:lncRNA from 1 species
AAGCUCUUGCCUCAGGCGGGCGCAGUCCAGGGAGUUAGGGGGCUUGGUCCUCACAAGGAAGCUACUGGGUGCCUCUUGCGGGGGGGUGUUUAGAACUGAUCUUGCCUCUCCCUCCCUCCAGCCUCCUUUCCUGCAGCCAAGAGGACACAGACAGCAAGCAGAGAAGCAACCCCCAGGGCCCUGCUGUGUGCUGUCUUGUUACCAAGGAGCCUGGAAAUUCCCCGACCAGAACGGCACAGCGUGGGUGGAGCUUUGUUCAGGGCCAGGAGAAAUGGAAAAGUUAGGAGAGGAGUUAGGAGACGUAGGGUGGAAAGAUGAUGUUCCGCGUGCAGGGAAAUGGAAUGACUUGUAACUCAUUUCUUUACAAGUAAGAGCCGCUUACUUGGGAGGACACUCAGCUCCUUCCACAGCCCCUGUCCCUGAUGUCCAUCAGGCCAGCAUGACACCAGCACCUCGUGCUGGUCUCAGCAUUAACAAGACUAGGCUCCAUCCCAGAUGAUCCUCAAGCAGGUGACUCUGAGCAGUGGAGUCUGGCCUUUAAUCUUGUGUGUGCAUGUUGACAAUUGAAAGAAAGAGAAGGUAUUUUACACUGUACUGCAACGAGUGUCAUCAGAUAGCAAAGACCAAACCACCAUGUCAUUUCCGAUGGCAUGGGCUCUAACCAUUUAGUUCAGGAGGAAAGAUGGAGUAUUCCCAGGAAGCUUGAGUGCACGUCCCGGCACUACAAUCAGGUGCUGUGCAAAUUCUGGUAAACUAAGCUGGCCCUGCGCAACAAGCUUCCUCCUAUUGCGAAUCUCUCAUUCUCUCUCUCUCUCUCUCUCUCUCUCUCUCUCACAGGUAAAAGUCACAUAACAUAAAGAUAGCCAUUGACCUAAAGCACACAAACAGGGACAUUUAGUACAUCUACGUGAUGCCGAGCCACUGUCCUAAAGAGACACCUGUUUGCAUUGGAGCACUCAGCUCCCACCCUCUGUUCUCUGGCAACACUAGGAAACUUGCUGAGUCUGGAUUGACCUGCUCUGGUCAUUUCCAAGCACGGAAUCUGCAGCAGGUGGCCAUUUGUGCCUGAUGUGUUGGCGAUUCCUCCAUGUUGCACUGGCCAGGGCUUCCUCCUCCUUAUAUGUUUAAAAUGGGGGUGACCCAUGUAGAUCUGUGGGAGGGAAGGACACUCCUCUCCAUGGGAGUGUGGCUAAGGACAGAUGCUUCGAGUGGGUCCUGUCUGACCCUAGCAGCCUGGGGUGGGGUGGGGGCAGAGGGGAGGGAGGCCACCCUCCCUGCCUGUGUGCUGAGGAAGAACCCCCAGAAGACUCGCCUCUGCAGGGACAGCGCACUCUGCGAGGCAGGGCACACGAUAGGACCUGCCUCCUGGGGUCAGCCUGGAGCUAACCAGGAGGAUGCAUGGGAAGCCCUUGGCCCAUGGAAACACUCAACGAAAGACGCCACACCCUUUCUGCCCUUCCUGCUUGAGGUCGGCUUCAGGAAGCCCACUUAGUCCAGGGGGUCUCUUGGCAGACUCUUGGGGACCGUUGCCUGCAGGGCCCAGGGAUACUCUUGGACUACAGGUUGACAUUUCCUGUCCUGGGAUUACGCUGGGUGGUCACUGCCCAGGUUUGCUCCCAGUCCUGUCUUAAUUUCAGAUCCCCCCAGAAGCAGGACUUGGGUCAAAGAGUCAAGGACAAGGGCUGAUUUUGGAGGUUAUCUUGGGGGACUGACAGCAACAACCUAGGAGACGGGUAGUGUCAAUCGGCUUUCUGUUGCUGUGACAGAAUUCCCAAGAUGACCAAGAGCCAUUGAAUAUUAACAUAACGCACAUGCUGCUAUUUAAAGGAGAAAGAUAAAUACAGAUUUGGAAGGGAGAGAAGAAC